rnacentral:rRNA from 1 species
AUUGAACGCUGGCGGCAGGCUUAACACAUGCAAGUCGAGCGGGGGAAGGUAGCUUGCUACUGGACCUAGCGGCGGACGGGUGAGUAAUGCUUAGGAAUCUGCCUAUUAGUGGGGGACAACAUCUCGAAAGGGAUGCUAAUACCGCAUACGUCCUACGGGAGAAAUCAGGGGAUCUUCGGACCUUGCGCUAAUAGAUGAGCCUAAGUCGGAUUAGCUAGUUGGUGGGGUAAAGGCCUACCAAGGCGACGAUCUGUAGCGGGUCUGAGAGGAUGAUCCGCCACACUGGGACUGAGACACGGCCAGACUCCUACGGGAGGCAGCAGUGGGGAAUAUUGGACAAUGGGGGGAACCCUGAUCCAGCCAUGCCGCGUGUGUGAAGAAGGCCUUAUGGUUGUAAAGCACUUUAAGCGAGGAGGAGGCUACUUUAGCUAAUACCUAGAGAUAGUGGACGUUACUCGCAGAAUAAGCACCGGCUAACUCUGUGCCAGCAGCCGCCGUAA